AUGGAUCCAGCAGAAAUUUUGUUUUGUGUUUGUCAAGACAAUUCCCCAAUCGAGGAAUAUGUUGAGGUGUUUUUAGACCUAUGUAAUCGGGUGGACUUCGGCGAGAAGGAGCUGAAGGACAUCUUUCGGCAUGGUCUGGAGGACGGGCUGCGCUACCUAUCUUCCUUCAAUACAAACAUAUUUGCUUCAGCUCCACUGCUGCUGCUGGCUCUCGCCCCCUAUGUGUUCUGUGCUACUGAGCUCAUCCAGCCAGACUCACUGCUUAUAAAGCCAGGAGAGACUUUAACCAUCACCUGUAAAGUGUCUGGAGCUUCCAUCACUGAUAGCAGCAGCCACCUUGGAACAGCUUGGAUUCGACAACCUGCAGGAAAAGCUUUAGAAUGGAUCAAUUUAAUUUAUUAUAAUGGGAAUAUUAAUAAGAAAGAUUCACUUAAAGACAACUUUGUGGUCUCUCGAGACACUUCCAGUAACUCCGUGACCUUUCGAGGACAGAACAUGCAGACUGAAGACACAGCUGUGUAUUACUGCGCUGGUUAUCCACACAGUGACACGACAAGCUGCAGUGCUGCACAAAAACCUCAUCACAAUCAUUCACUUCUUUACUUAAAUAAUAACUACAUUUUACUGAGUAACUAAUCCCUACAUUC